ACUUCACUGGACCGGCAAGGUCUUCUGGUCGCGCCGGAACUGGGAGUCCACGAUCCUCGAACAGGUGCCGUUCGAACGGAUCGUGUGGCGC
rnacentral:tRNA from 1 species